rnacentral:rRNA from 1 species
CCUACGGGUGGCUGCAGUGGGGAAUAUUGCACAAUGGCGGAAACCCUGAUGCAGCGACGCCGCGUGAGUGAAGAAGUCUUUCCGUAUGUAAAGCUCUAUCAGCAGGGAAGAAAUAGCGACCUUUGGGUCGCCCUCCGGUACCUGCUUAAGAAGCCCCUGCUCACUACGUGCCAGCAGCCGCGGUAAUACGUGGGGGGCAAGCGUUAUCCGGAUUUACUGGGGGUAAAGGGAGCGUAGACGGCAGCGCAAGUCUGAAGUGAAAUGCCGGGGCUUAAACCCGGAACUGCGUUGGAAACUGUGCAGCUAGAGUGCAGGAGAGGUAAGUGGAAUUCCUAGUGUAGCGGUGAAAUGCGUAGAUAUUAGGAGGAACACCAGUGGCGAAGGCGGCUUACUGGACUGUAACUGACGUUGAGGCGCGAAAGCGUGGGGAGCAAACAGGAUUAGAUACCCCAGUAGUC